rnacentral:lncRNA from 1 species
UUCAAAAUCAGACAAAUCGAGAUUGAAGUGAACCAGUUCAUUUAUUAAGAAAAAAAAUUCCUUCUGUUCAAAAGAAAUUUUGGUUUUCCCUCAGGGCCAAAGCUUUUUUAAAGGGAUGGAACUUCUUUUCUGAGAAGCAGUAGCCUCUGCCUCACAGACAUAAUGCAUUACGUGUUGAGAGCAGCAGAGGCGACAGUACAUCUAUGAAUAUCAGUAGCAAGUAUUCCCUAAGGAGAGGAGAGCACAAGACCAUUAUUGAGAAGCCAGAUGAUGUCAAGUCACUACAAAAGCAAAGGCCAACUAGCUCGCCAUCUUCAGCUUCCAAAGCUACCAGAAAAAUAGUUUCCGAAAUUUGUAAAAUGCAAUUAAACUUGAGAAGUCAAAUAAAAGUGAGUUCUUACAGAAUUGCUUCCAAGAAAAUGUUUCCAAGUGUGCAUUCUCCUCAGCAGAAUGUCUGUGUACACAGUGUGCUUGUUCGACAAAUGAGAAAACUUCUACAACUCCAGCAGUUACUCAUGGCUAUUUAAACACUUCUUAUGCUGACUGCCUUAGUUAAUGAUCAGAUUUUAUAAUUCAAACAGUCUAAUCCUUGUAUACAUUUAUAAAGUUAAUUUUUAAGCUAAAACUGAACAAAAACUCACCCUUACCUGUAUGAGUAUCUUAUGUUCACUAAGGUUUCACACUCACAGUUCCCCGAUCUUCACUCUUCCAAUGUCCUUAAUCAGUCUGAGUAGUCUUACAUAACACCAAGUACAACUUGGAGAAAAAGGAAAUCAGACUAUUGAAGAAAUUCAAUAGCUAUGGUAAAUAUUGCAAGCACCUCCUCAAAAAAAAAAAAAAAAC